CGAGCUAGACUAAAGGUAUCUGGUAAUUAAUCCUUGGCACCUCCCACCACACGCUCCUGAUUGGGCGCGUGAGACAAGGCUGUGUCUGCGCGCGCUCUUACCAGUCCGGGGAAUUCCAUUUCCUCUACCAACCACCGGCAUAAGCAUUCAGGGGCGUUGCUUUCCUGGCAGUGGCCCGCCCCAGUUCGAGCCGGUGCCUUACUGCGUCUCGCGAGAACGUACGCAUUUUGGGGGCGGAACCCCGUCAGGAAAAGCGCACAAAACUGCUCUUAAGUCAUUGCAGAGCUACCGCUUCGGUUAGCCAGCCACGAAGUUCUCGCGAGAGUCGUCUCCUCGAUACCAAGUGAGGAAACUGGGGGACGCUGUGGGGAGGGGCGUGGGGCUGGAUCGCGCAGCGGCUGCUUCCUUUACCUUCCUCCCAUGGUCUCCUUCCGGUUCUCGAUGCUUCUCUGAGCCUAAGGGUUUCCGCCACUCGUUUACCCUCCCCCCAGCUCAUGAUCCUCCUCCCUCCCCCGCCCUCCUGGUCCAAUCUCCGAUCUGUUUAGUAAGAAGGUGCUGUUCCGAGAAGGAGAAGGAAAAGGGCUUGACACGUAUUCACUCGGCCCCGGACGUGGGAAGCAAGCCGUCUGGCUUCGGCCUCACAUCGGUCCUGUGCUCGGGACGGCGGCGUUGGCGGACUGAUCUGCGGCGGUGAAGAGGCAGGAGGAGGGGGAGGGGCGGAGCGUGGCAGCUGGCAGUAGUUCCGUCAGAGCGGACAUCUUGUGGCUGUGUCGUGCGCGUGAGCCCCGUAGGGCCGGGGAGGCACCAGCUGCCGCGCGGGGAGGAGGCCGAGGCCGCAGCUUGAGGGAGGCCCCGGCCCCUCUGCGCCUGUGUCUGGCAGAGCUGGUGUGAGACGAGACAAUCCUGCCCCGCCGCCGGGAUAAUCAAGAGUUUUGGCCGGACCUUUGAGCAUACACCGAGAGAGUGAGGAGCCAGACGACAAGCACACACUAUGGCGCUGAAACGGAUUAAUAAGGAACUUAGUGAUUUGGCCCGUGACCCUCCAGCACAAUGUUCUGCAGGUCCAGUUGGGGAUGAUAAGUUUUUUUUCUUUUUCUAGUGUUUCAUUGGCAAGCCACAAUUAUGGGACCUAAUGACAGCCCAUAUCAAGGCGGUGUAUUCUUUUUGACAAUUCA
rnacentral:lncRNA from 1 species